UUGGUCCUUCGGGAAUUUUAAACCAGGUUUGCAUGGCGGUCGUCACUUCGGCUGUGAAAUGUUGGGUUAAGUCCUGCAACGAGCGCAACCCUUAUCCUUUGUUGCCAGCGGUUAGGCCGGGAACUCAAAGGAGACUGCCAGUGAUAAACUGGAGGAAGGUGGGGAUGACGUCAAGUCAUCAUGGCCCUUACGAGUAGGGCUACACACGUGCUACAAUGGCGCAUACAAAGAGAAGCGACCUCGCGAGAGCAAGCGGACCUCAUAAAGUGCGUCGUAGUCCGGAUUGGAGUCUGCAACUCGACUCCAUGAAGUCGGAAUCGCUAGUAAUCGUGGAUCAGAAUGCCACGGUGAAUACGUUCCCGGGCCUUGUACACACCGCCCGUCACACCAUGGGAGUGGGUUGCAAAAGAAGUAGGUAGCUUAACCUUCGGGAGGGCGCUUACCACUUUGUGAUUCAUGACUGGGGUGA
rnacentral:rRNA from 1 species